rnacentral:rRNA from 1 species
CAGCAGCCGCGGGAAUACGUAGGUGGCAAGCGUUGUCCGGAAUUAUUGGGCGUUAAGAGCUCGCAGGCGGUUUCUUAAGUCUGAUGUGAAAGCCCCCGGCUCAACCGGGGAGGGUCAUUGGAAACUGGGAAACUUGAGUGCAGAAGAGGAGAGUGGAAUUCCACGUGUAGCGGUGAAAUGCGUAGAGAUGUGGAGGAACACCAGUGGCGAAGGCGACUCUCUGGUCUGUAACUGACGCUGAGGAGCGAAAGCGUGGGGAGCGAACAGGAUUAGAUACCCCUGUAGUCCCUGUCUCUUAUAC